rnacentral:lncRNA from 1 species
UCAUUGUUCUUAGUCAGUGACUGAGGAAUAACCGGGGAAGGGCAAGACGCGACAGAGAAAUGGAGACGGACGCAGAAAAUGAAAGGAAAUCAGACCCAAAUUCCUAAGGAUUGUGGAGCCUCUCGUCAACCUCUCCAACGCCCGGACUGCCCUCUGAAUCUCCUGUGUCGCGGAGAGACUUUACACUGUGUGUUUUCUUAAUCAUGUGUAAAUUAGCCCCUCGUCGCCGAUAAAAUCCUCAAAUCCCUUCGGCUUCCAUCGCCCCAUCCAGCCGUGAACCAGGGCUUGAGUGAGCACCGCUGGAAAACUCUGCCUCACCAUCAUCAUUUAUUUUCACUACGCCAGAGGAAAAUAUGCACUGUUUGUGUUUGUGGAUGUGUUAAAGGCCCACAACGUUUGGGUUGUAAACCCUCUUCUGUAGGCUGUUAAUUCCAAGUUCAACAUCGGCCCCUGUAGCCGACUGUGCGCCUGUUUUGCUACACGUGUUUGUAUCCUGCAGCUGAGUUUGUACAGUGGCUGCAUGUCGCUGUACUGGUUUCUGUGUGGGCCUCCCCCUUUUUCAGUGUCUCACAUCAGAACUGCUGCUUGUUUCAUGGUGAGGCAGAUCGGUUGAAAUAAAUCACAGGCGGUUUUAAUCAGAGUGAAACAGCGCAGGCCAGGCCUAU